rnacentral:rRNA from 1 species
UGGGGAAUCUUAGACAAUGGGGGGAAACCCCUGAUCUAGCCAUGCCGCGUGAGCGAUGAAGGCCUUAGGGUUGUAAAGCUCUUUCAGCUGGGAAGAUAAUGACGGUACCAGCAGAAGAAGCCCCGGCUAACUCCGUGCCAGCAGCCGCGGUAAUACGGAGGGGGCUAGCGUUGUUCGGAAUUACUGGGCGUAAAGCGCACGUAGGCGGAUUAGUCAGUCAGAGGUGAAAUCCCAGGGCUCAACCCUGGAACUGCCUUUGAUACUGCUAGUCUUGAGGUCGAGAGAGGUGAGUGGAAUUCCGAGUGUAGAGGUGAAAUUCGUAGAUAUUCGGAGGAACACCAGUGGCGAAGGCGGCUCACUGGCUCGAUACUGACGCUGAGGUGCGAAAGCGUGGGGGAGCAAACAGGAUUAGAUACCCUGGUAGUCCACGCCGUAAACGAUGAAUGCCAGUCGUCGGGUUGCAUGCAAUUCGGUGACACACCUAACGGAUUAAGCAUUCCGCCUGGGGAGUGCGGUCGCAAGA